GCCCUCUUGUUUUUUAACAGUGGCUUACGUACCAGUCAACAGAUACCCGGGUUAGUAAAGUGCCAUCAGUGUGUCAUUCAGAGAGAUCCCAGAGAGGAAACUUCGACAGCCUCAGAGAUGAUUCUAUGGAGAUGGAGAAAAGACUUCUUUCAUUGAGGUGUGUGGCAGGGAGGAAAUAUUUUUCAACAUCGGCAAUGUUUGUCAGCUUUGAUCGGAUAGCUACUCUACAAUAGCUUUACAACAGUUAUCCUAUGAAAUGUCUGUAACUUGUUGAUAUGGCAAAGUUAAAUAUUCUGUAAAUCAAGAUGUUUUCCCGAGGAUAUUUUGUGGGAACAUUAUGAUAUAGAUGUCAGGUGUCUUCACUCCAUUGCAAUAUCUUUCUAAGGGGAGCCUCUAUAGUGUGAGAUACAAGCUCUGCAAGAUGGAACUAGAGAAGGUUUCGUGGCUAACCUGUAUUCAUCACCACCAGUUGCAAUUCAGAACCUUCAGCACCACUAAAGAGAUUGGUUUUAUCACCGGGUAUUUAUCAGACAAUGAUUGUACUGUUUUAAACCGGGAUCUCAAGACAUUUAUGUUACCGUAAAUAAGUCCUUACAAUCAUCCAAUUCUGCUGGGCUAUGUAGACACAGACUGAUGAAUGUACUAAGGUUUGGACCGUCAGCUGAAUAUAACUAGCUGGAUGCCAGCUUAACUGAGAAGUAACUAAGCUUGCAGACCAGCAGCGGUACAUAACUAUUUGCAUACCACCUUAACCAAAUGGGAACGUUUCGUCUAGCAUCAAUACCCCUUACUAGAAUGACUUGAUACUAAUGCAGAUGUAACCUGUGACCAUUCCUCAUCUUCAGACAUCACCUGACCUCAGUUUGAUUUUGACCUUGACCUCGUUUUGGAGGUUGCUUUAUAUCAACGUGGAUACCACCCGGGGCAUCAAGCGUUUAUUGAACGCAGCUCCUUGUUGUUUAUGAGAAUGUUUGUGUUUUUAAAUUUGAACCUAAGGUGAAAGCAAUCAGAUAUAUGAUGUGCACAAAUUGUCAAUUUUUUUUACCUCACAUUAGUACAAAGUGGACAAUAUGAACGCAAAACAGCUUGUCUGAUAACACAUGUUGAAUGUACAAAUUAUACAUGUCAUGUCAUAUGUCUUUCACUCUGUCAGUUCAUAUACUGCUAUUCGUUUGUUCAUGACUAUCAAUACGCAGGGGAAUCAGAUUCAGUAUGCUGUACAGUACAUAAAAUGCCUUUCACAUAUUUCAUUUUGUACAUACAUAGACAAUACAUUUUAAUUGAUAUGUAAGUAUACUGUCUAUAUGUAGCAUUUUCAUUGUCACUUAAUUGAUGCCUAGCAUUUCAUUACAAUACUCAGGGAAUACACAUUGUUCAUAUUAUCAUAUACCUGUUUUGAAUGAUAGUACAGCUUUAGGUUUGGAGAAAACAAGAAAUAACAGAAUUGUAAAUAUGUGUUCCUCCUUUAGCCAGUUAUUUAUUAUUUAGUUAUACAUUUAUUUAUAUAUUUAUUUCUAUACUAAAAUUUGAAUAUGUUUCCCAUAUUGUUUUUUACAUAGACAUACAUUUUUAAGUUGAAUUUACAUGUAAAUAGGUUUUUGAUAGAUGUAUAUAUCUUGUGUUUGGUUAAGAUAGUAAGGAUAUACAGUUUGCUGUGUUAUUAUUUAGCAGACUGCAUUGUAAAUGAGAUAGUUUUAUACUUACCUUAUCGACAUGAUUUUUGAAUAAAAUAUUACACAGGUGUAUUUUAACUUUGUGUACAUAAUGGUAAAUUUUCUGCAGAUGUUUGUCACCAUUCAGAUGUAGUAACAAGGGACAUAAAAUUUAAAAUACUAAACUUUUUUUUGUCUUUCAAAUAAAGUUGAGAUUCUUGUUAGGGAUUGCAUUAUGAAAAGCUUUACAAAUUUCCUUUGAUCUCCACAUCCUAGAAAUGUUUAAAAGUUUUACAUUGCUUAAAGGGAAUUCCUAUAGAUUUUAAUGCGCAUCUUUCUGCGCAGCCGGCACUUUCUAUGGAAAACUGAACUGAAGUCAACAUUUGUUGAAACAUGUUACAGACAAUCUUAAAUAUCAGGAAUCUUGAAUGAAAUAAUAUUUUUGAUAAGUUAUAUCAGUAAUCAAAUGUUGAUACUGGUUUAUGUUGUAUUGACAAGUAUCAUGCCUGACAGGUAUCUUGCUAUUUUUGUGGUUGUGUUUUCACAUCGCAUUUUAGUAGAAAGACAGUGUUGUUCAUAUAAUGUAAGAUAAUUGACUUAGUACUGAUAAGACAAUAUCACCUUUCAGAUUAUUUAGUAUGCAAUUAUAGAAAGAAUUAAAAAAAUUUAAAACUUUUUUAAAACUUUUAGCAGACAUACAUGUAAUCAAUUUGGGCAGGUUCGCGCUAUUUCCGUCCGAACAGGUGUUUGUAUUCUAGCGGUCUUAACAUAAAGUUUAGCCUGGUGACCCAUACAUUUUUAGCCAUUUUUAUGCUCACAAUACAAUUAUCUAUACACAAGAAAAAAAGGAAAAAAAUCUAUGAAAGUUUUUUCAAGAUUUAAAAAAAUAUUCUUCACUAUGGGUAUUUUUCAUUGAAAAAGGUUCACAAAAGUAAAUAUGAAACAAUUUUUUUUUUCAUUUGUACCCAUCAUUGUAAGGAUAGAGUAUUACAAAUAUGACUAUGAUAUCAAGUAAGUAUAUGAUAGAAUCUGUAAUAAGAAAAAAACCGUAUUGUGCUGCCUGGAUGUAUAUUUUGGUUGGUAUUUAUGAAAAAGCAGAAAAUUAUGAAAAUGUUCAAAAAUCGCUGGCAGUUUCAGCAAAGUGAAAGCAAUUUUUCACAAAAACAAGCCUGGUGACCUAUUAUUUUUAUUUGUUCAUUGUUUUCAGCACACAUUUUCCUAUCAUAUAUAUGAAUUUAAAAAAAUUCUAUGAAAGGAAAAAAAUUAUAGGAAUUCUCUUUAAAAGGUGGUCAAUCACAUUUAAACAACAUUUAAUGACAUUUUUUACUUUUUGUAUAUUCUGGUAGAGAAUUAUUUAAGGAACAAAAAGACCGAUUACAUAGAGUUAGAUUACUAUUUGAAAUGUAUAUUUUAUUAUUUUUAUAAAAUUUUGUAAUUACUCCCCUUUAAUAUGAAAGUAUAUAAAAAGCAGGGUAUUUCUUUUUAUUUCGAUACAAUGUCUAGUUUUACAUUUGCAUUUGAUAGACAUAUCACCUAUUGAACAAUCUGAACCAAAAAGCAAGUUUUAAAGCUGUGUGUAGCUUCUGAAUUCAUUUAUUUCCAAUCUAUCUUGGUUGCGCAACCAAGAUAGGCAAAGGGAGGUAAUAAUAAUUUUUCAAACUUGAGUUUCUAAUGAAUUCCAUCUAAAUACAUAAUUUUUAAUGCAAAUAUUUUACAAAUAUAUUACAAUAUGUCUAAUAUUUAUACAUUUCCUUAGGCAAAGUAUGUUUAUCAAAUUUAUGCUUAUGAUAAAAUAACUCUAUCUUGGUUGGGCAACCAGGAUAGGAAAAUGAAAUUUUAAAAAUACCUCCAGUGAAAAUCUAAUUUGUAUUAAGUGUUAAGUGAACAUAAAUGAGUGUAAAUGAUCAGAUGCUAAAGUUUCGAACAAAUCCAUUACAUGGCCAAAAUCUGAUUAUCCACCUUUAAAAGAUUAAAAUUAUUACAUGAUAAUUUUAAAGUGUUGUACAGUGCAUUUAUCUUAUGAAAAGGCUAUACAAUGUUUUAGUUUGUUCAGCAUUGAAUGAGUUAAAAACAAGAACAUCAAUGUUAAUCAUUUGGAAUGCAGAAGUAAAAAUUAUACGAAAACAACUAAUUAUAGAGAACUUGCAAAUUAAAGUUGUUUAUUGUAAAUAAAACCGGAUCUGCUUUGUUGCGGUCUGUGCUUCCAAAGCGUCUUUUCACGGAUUGUACUUUUUUGGGGUGGGUGGGGGAGUGGGGAGUUUGAUAAUGGCUUUUAAAGUGAGAGAUGAUUUGUGUAUACAUAUUCUCCUGAUAUGAUACUCUCUGAUAAUUUUUCAUCAUACUGCUUUUAUAUCCGAUAUAUAUUCCGUAUUGCACAGUCAGGCUAUAAUAUACAACAUUAAUUUCUCCUCUCUGCUAUUUAUAUGAUGAAUUAGUUGUUAUAGAUUUUAAUUUCUAUCAAAAAAUUAUACUAUUCUUUUGAUUUUGGAAAUUAUUUGUUUUUGUUCAGAAAUGCAUUUUUAUUUGUAAUAUAACUUGUUUUAACCUUGUGUUUCAGCAGCAUCGUUUGUAAUUCACUUGUACAUAGUUUGUAUAUAACAUGUGUCUUUCAUGCUAGAAUGUAUAGUAAGUUGUAAGUGCUACAUGUGGGGCCUCUAUAGACGAGUGGUUAAGGAUACCGACUGUGGGACACUUGCCUCUCACUUCCAGUGGUUUGAAACGGAAGGUCAAUGGUUCUACCCAGAUAAGAAGCCCAUGCCUGAAAAUGACAGUAGGGCACUUGGAGUCUGCCCCACAACCGAAAGCUGAGAAGUUGUUAUAUGACAUGUUUAUGUCAGUUAGACCUUGAACAUAAUAAAAUGAUAACACAAUGUCAUACUCUCUUAAUUUAAAGCUACUUUCCAUAGAAUCACAAGCAAUCUUAUCAUUUGUCUAUUAUAAUUUUUUUCUUUAUGGUUUCAGACUAUACAGAUAGCAAUUAUUUUAUCUAAAUUCCAUUUUGUUACUUUAAAAUCGCUUAUUUUCCUCGGGGUACCGAAACCUAUUUUUAGCUCACCUGUCACAUAGUGAAAAGGUGAGCUUUUGUGAUCACCCUCCGUCUGUGCGUCCGUCCGUCCGUCAACAAUUUCUUGUCUGCACGAUAGUGGUUUCAUUUAUGAUUUUAGUUUAACCAAACUUGCACACAACUUGUAUCACCAUAAGAUCUUGGUUCCUUUCUUGAACUGGCCAGAUCCCAUUAUGGGUUCCAGAGUUUUGGCCCCUGAAAGGGCCAAAAUUAGCUAUUUUGACCUUGUCUGCACAAUAGCAGCUAUAUUUAUAAUUUGAUUUUUACCAAACUCGCACACAACUUGUAUCACCAUAAGAUCUUAGUUCCUUUCUUGAACUGGCCAGAUUCCGUCAUGGGUUCCAGAUUUAUGGCCCCUGAAAGGGCCAGAAUUAGCUAUUUUAACCUUGUCUGCACAAUAGCAGCUUCAUUUAUGAUUUUAUUUUAACCAAACUUGCACACAACUUGUAUCACCAUAAGAUUGUUUCCUUUCUUGAACUGGCCAGAUUCCUUUAUGGGUUCCAGAGUUAUGACCCCUGAAAGGGCCAGAAUUAGCUAUUUUGACCUUGUCUGCACAAUAGCAGCUUCAUUUAUGAUUUGAAUUUAAUCAAACUUGCACAAAACUUGUGUCACCAUAAGAUCUUGGUUCCUUUCUUGAACUGGCCAUUAGUUGGACUGAGACAAUCAGGGUAGAUAACUAUGGACUGAUUUUAUGUCAAAUUACCUCCCUUUAUUUCAAAUUAAAUUGGGUAUAUCUCCGUAACUAAUGGAGAUACUGAUCUGAAAUUUCAUUUAUGUCAACAGAUGGACUUGGACAAUCAGUGAAGAUACAUAUUGACUGAAUUUAUGGCAAAUUACCUCCUUUAUUAUUUAUCAAAAUGAAUACACCUUAGCAGCUUCUAAUGAGAUUGGUUUGAAACGAUCAUAUCAUUUUGAGCAAUGGUACUCAGGUGAGCGACACAGGGCCAUCAUGACCCUCUUUAGAAUGUGAAAUUGAAAGAAGACUAUGAUAAUCAAAAGAGCGCACACUUAGCUGGCAAACAGUAACAAAAUGGCUGCCCUAGCGCACAGUAAGGUUUCUGGGUAAAGAAAUUCGAUACUUACUGGCCUUAUAUGCAAUGUAAAUGUUCGUUUGGGGUAUAUUCAACAGCUUAAAGACAAACUGUCAGGGAAUGUGACACAAUUUAUUAUACAUGAAUUUAAACGUGAUGUUAACUUCUUUUAAAUGCAUGUAGGGCAACGCGCAUACUUUGAGAAUGAAUAGGGUGUAUCAAUCAAUUUUUUAUGUAGCUGUCAAGGGAGAAACGACGUUAGUGAACAUAAUGAAGAGCAAACAAUUACUAUGCCAGGGAAUAUGACACCACUUACUAUAUUCCAUUUUAAAGUUAUUUAUAUUGUCUUUUAAAUGCUUGAACAUGUAGUGUUCUUUCUUGGGGAAAGUACUUCUAACGGCAUUCUCAUAGAAGUCAUUAGGUAGAAGAUUGAAUGAACUACCUAAAUCAAACCAGAGAUAAAAACCUGGGUCAUAAUAAAUGAAAGACAGUAAAUAUCUUUAAAUAUCUGUAAACUGAUGUGUGAUGAAUUCUAUUAUAUAUUCCUUGAAAAGGGACCUGUACCGCACAUUUUUAAGCUCCAUCGACCAAUAAACUUUAGUGUUUGCAAACGCUGAUACUGCUGUUUCUGUUACUGUUGGCCAAAAAGUGGUUAUCUUAUAACUGUUAAGUGUCGUCGACCACACUUAGUAGUUUACCAUUGAAAUCUUUGAAAGUACGCCGAAUUUAACAAUUAUCAAUGUUUCACUAUUGAAACCAGAAUUAUUAGACCACGUACAAGUAGAACUUUUUUUUUUUUCUAUAACGAAAGUUAAUAAGAGUGUGGAAAGCAGCUUUAAUUGAAUCCUUCUGCCAAGUAAACCAUUUCAAAAGAAUUCGGAUUUUUUCACUUGUCAAACUUGUAAAUAUGUAUACAAAAAUUAUAUUUUUCGCUGCGAUUGUGAAUGUGAAUGGGCAGCAGUGUUUAAAGUUUUGUUUUAAUGUGUUAUUUAUGUACAUUUAAGUGUUUGUCUAACACUGAAGUAACAGACUGUGUUAAAGUUCAGUCUUCAGAAUAGUGUAGUAAAAUAGGUUAAAAUUAGGGAGCUAUAUAAGCAAUUUAGUUACUGUCUGUUCUCUCUUUAUAAAUAAAUAUUUAUAAUUAUUUCUGUUUGUAAAAAAAUUUAUUCAGCUAAGCUUUGAUGUUAAAAUUGUGUAUUAAUUUUGUCUUAAUUUAAACAAUAAUUAUGUUUGAAAUGUAAAUUCUACAUGUAGAAUUUGUGAAAUGAACUAUACCCAAUUAAGUCAAAGAGCAUGAGAAGGGAAACAACCACUGGAGUAGAAUGUAACCUUACAAUUUUUCCAAAGGAAAAUCUCAAAGUCAUAUAUUUUCUGUCCAGUGAGCUAAAUUACAGACAUAUCAAUUUUUACACAGCACGAGCCUCUCUAAAUUAGAUUUCAUUCACAAUAAAAGAUACAGUACUAUCGCUGUUCAAGUUAAGAAUGAUGUAUUUCAUUAAAUGAUACCUGUAUGCUCUUGUGUAACAUCCUUUCUAAGGAAACUAGUCAAAAUAAGAUGACUGCUUCCCAAUGGAGAAACAAGCUACUUUAUUUAGUAUCAAGUUUCCAGUUCUGCAAGUAGGGAAAAGCCAUAAAUUGAUAUCCGAAACGGGAGGUUUUCCUACUGCAUUAGAAAGAUAUAGAAUUAAAGUUAAAAUUAAGUAGAAAUAUUAGAUUUGGAAAUGAAAUAAACAGAACUCUUUAUAGCCAGUUUAGUUCUGCUCAUGUGGGAUCUUUGGCAAAGGUUUGACUGUACAUAAUUAUUUCAUUUAUGAUAAGUUAUUCAUAUUUUAAUGGUGUGUUUUCUUAACAAUUCAUCAACAUAUUUCAACCAUCGUAUCAGAGAUAAACUAUUUCUAGGCAAUAUGUUGAUGUAUUGUUUAAAGUUUCACGUAAAUCUGCGAACAAAUGGUAAAUUAUAGAUCCGUUGUUUUCAUGUUUAAGCGCUUGUAUUUGUCUUUGACAUGUUUUAUUGUAGAUUUAGGUUCCAGGCAAUAUGUUGAAGCAUUGUUUAAAGUUUCACGUAAAUCUGCGAACAAAUGGUAAAUUAUAGAUCCGUUGUUUUCAUGUUUAAGCGCCUGUAUUUGUCUUUGACAUGUUUUAUUGUAGAUUGAGGUAUUUAUUAAAAUGAUAACAGUGUGAUAGUUGAUCGAACAUGAUAUAUAUUUUAAUGACCUUGCUUAUAUCAGUUCAUUUUUAGCUCGACUGUACGAAGUAUAAGGAGAGCUAUCCUACUCGCCCCGGCGUCGGCGUCGGCGUCUUUCCGCGUCCCCACCUUGGUUAAAGUUUUGGUGCACUUUCUCUUUUUUCAACUUAUCUCUGUAAUUACUUGAUGGAUUUGAUUCAAACUUGAAAUACUUAUUCCUCAUCAUCAUCCACAUCAUCUGACAUAAGGGCCAUAACUCUGGCACCAAUAUUUCAUGAAUUAUCCCCCCUUUUCACUUAGAUUUUCAGGUUAAAGUUUUGAUGCACUUUUACUCUAUCUCUGUUAUUACUGAAUGGAUUUGAUUCAAACUUGAAAUAGUUGUUCAACAUCAUCACCCACAUCAUAUGACACAAGGUGCAUAACUCUGGCACCAUUUUUUCAUGAAUUAUUCCCCCUUUUUACUUAGAAUUUCAGGUUAAAGUUUUGGUGCACUUUCACUCUACCUCUGUUAUUACUGAAUGGAUUUGAUUCAAACUUAAAAUAGUUGUUCAGCAUCAUCACCCACAUCAUAUGACACAAGAUGCAUAACUCUGGCACAAUAUUUCAUGAAUUAUUCCCCUUUUUACUUAGAAUUUCAGGUUAAAGUUUUAUGCACUUUCACUCUAUCUCUGUUAUUACUGAAUGGAUCUGAUUCAGACUUAGGCAAUUGUUCAGCAUCAUUACCCUUAUCAUAUGACACAAGGUGCAUAACUCUGGGACCAAUUUUUCAUGAAUUAUUUCCCCUUUUUACUUAGAAUUUUAGGUUAAAGUUUUGAUGCACUUUCACUCUGUCUAUGUUAUUACUGAAUGGAUUUGAUUCAAACUUAGGCAAUUGUUCAACAUCAUUACCCACACCAUAUGACGCAAGGUGCAUAACUCUGGCACCAAUUUUUCAUUAAUUAUUCCCCCUUUUACUUAUUCCUCAUCAUCAUCCACAUCAUCUGACAUAAGGGCCAUAACUCUGGCACCAAUAUUUCAUGAAUUAUCCCCCUUUUUCACUUAGAUUUUCAGGUUAAAGUUUUGAUGCACUUUUACUCUAUCUCUGUUAUUACUGAAUGGAUUUGAUUCAAACUUAAAAUAGUUGUUCAACAUCAUCACCCACAUCAUAUGACACAAGGUGCAUAACUCUGGCACCAUUUUUUCAUGAAAUAUUCCCCCUUUUUACUUAGAAUUUUAAGUUAAAGUUUUGAUGCACUUUCACUCUGUCUCUGUUAUUAUUUGAUUCAAAUAUAAAAUAGUUGUUCAACAUCAUCACCCACACUAUAUGACACAAGCUGCAUAACUCUGGCACCAAUAUUUAAUGAAUUAUGCUCCUUUUUGCUUAGGACAUACUUAUAUAGUGUUGUGAUACAUUUUCUCUUUACCUCUAUUAUUACUUAAGUUGAUAUUUUUGACAUAGACUCAGGCUAUUGUGCAAUAUCUUCAUCCACAAUUGGAGUCAUUAAACACUCCAUUGACGGCUCUAGUUUCCUCAGAUGUGCCCAGUUUCACUAUCCAGCAUCGAAAUAGUCGAGCGCGCUGUCUCCUGUGACAGCUCUUGUUAAUAUAUCAUCGGUAUCGCCAGUAUAAAACUGCAAAAAAAGUAAUUGAAGGAGAGAAAGCUUUUAUAUAGUUUAGGGGUACUUAUCUGAACCACAGUCCUUCAGGUUUCUCUUAAACUUCUUUACUCAUAUAAUAAAUCAGGCCAUUUUAGUACUCAGUAAGUUAUUAAGCAACACUUCCGGGCUAGUCAGAUACUGGAGGACAGAAACAAUCCCCAUAUUUUUAGCUCACCUGAGCAGGAAGUGCUCAAGGUGAGCUUUUGUGAUCACCCUGUGUCCGUUGUCUGUCGUCAGUCGUCCGUCGUCUGUCCAUCGUCAACAAUUUGACUGUUAACACUCUAGAGGUCACAAUUUUGGCCUUAUCUUAAUGAAACUUAGUCAGAAUGUUACCCUCAUAAAAAUCAUGGACGACUUCGAUAUUGGGUCAUCUGGGGUCAAAAACUAGGUCACCAGGUCAAAUCAAAGGAAAAGCUUGUUAACACUCUAGAGGUCACAAUUUUGGCUCAAUCUUAAUGAAACUUGGUCAGAAUGUUACCCUUAUUAAAAUCUUGGACAAGUUUGAUAUUGGGUCAUCUGGGGUCAAAAACUAGGUCACCAGGUCAAAUCAAAGGAAAAGCUUGUUAACACUCUAGAGGUCACAAUUUUUGCCCAAUCUUAAUGAAACUUGGUCAGAAUGUUACCCUCAAUAAAAUCUUGGAUGAGUUUGAUAUUGGGUUAUCUGGGGUCAAAAACUAGGUCACCAGGUCAAAUCAAAGGAAAAGCUUGUUAACACUCUAGAGGUCACAAUUUUUGCCCAAUCUUAAUGAAACUUGGCCAGAAUGUUACCUUUAAUAAAAUCUUAGAUGAGUUCGAUAUUGGGUCAUCUGGGGUCAAAAACUAGGUCACCAGGUCAAAUCAAAGGAAAAGCUUGUUAACACUGUAGAGGCCACAUUUAUAACUGUAUCUUCAUGAAUCUUGGUCAGAAUGUUACUCAUGAUGAUUUCAAAGUCCAGUUUGAAUCUAGGUCAUGUAGGGUCAAAAACUAGGUCACCAGGUCAAAUCAAAGGAAAAGCUAGUUAACACUCUAGAGGCCACAUUUAUGACCAUAUCUUAAUGAAACUUAGUCAGAAUUUUUAUCUUGAUGAUCUAUAGGUCAUGUUCGAAUCUGGGUCAGAUGGGGUCAAAAACUAGGUCACCGGGUCAAAUCAAAGGAAAAGCUUGUUAACACUAUAUAGGCCACAUUUAUGACUGUAUCUUUAUGAAACUUAGUCAGAGUGUUAAUCUUGAUGAUCUUUAGGUCAAGUUCGAAUCUGGGUCAUGUGGGGUCAAAAACUAGGUCAACGGGUCAAAUCAAAGGAAAAGCUUGUUAACACUGUAGAGGCCACAUUUAUGACUAUAUCUUCAUGAAACUUGGUCAGAAUGUUACUCAUGAUGAUCUUAAAGUCCAGUUUGAAUAUGGGUCAUGUAGGGUCAAAAACUAGGUCACCAUGUCAAAUCAAAGGAAAAGCUAGUUAACACUCUAGAGGCCACAUUUAUGACCACAUCUUAAUGAAACUUAGUCAGAAUUUUUAUCUUGAUGAUCUAUAGGUCAUGUUCGAAUCUGGGUCAGAUGGGGUCAAAAACUAGGUCACCAGGUCAAAUCAAAGGAAAAGCUUGUUAACACUGUAGAGGCCACAUUUAUAAUUGUAUCUUCAUGAAUCUUGGUCAGAAUGUUAUUCAUGAUGAUUUCAAAGUCCAGUUUGAAUCUAGGUCAUGUAGGGUCAAAAACUAGGUCACCAGGUCAAAUCAAAGGAAAAGCUAGUUAACACUCUAGAGGCCACAUUUAUGACCAUAUCUUAAUGAAACUUAGUCAGAAUUUUUAUCUUGAUGAUCUAUAGGUCAUGUUCGAAUCUGGGUCAGAUGGAGUCAAAAACUAGGUCACCGGGUCAAAUCAAAGAUAAAGCUUUUUAACACUCUAGAGGCCACAUUUAUGACUGUAUCUUUAUGAAACUUAGUCAGAAUGUUAAUCUUGAUGAUCUUUAGGUCAAGUUCGAAUCUGGGUCAUGUGGGGUCAAAAACUAGGUCACCGGGUCAAAUCAAAGGAAAAGCUUGUUAACACUGUAGAGGCCACAUUUAUGACUGUAUCUUCAUGAAACUUGGUCAGAAUGUUACUCAUGAUGAUCUUAAAGUCCAGUUUGAAUAUGGGUCAUGUAGGGUCAAAAACUAGGUCACCAUGUCAAAUCAAAGGAAAAGCUAGUUAACACUCUAGAGGCCACAUUUAUGACCACAUCUUAAUGAAACUUGGUCAGAAUAUUAAUCUUGAUGAUCUAUAGGUCAUGUUCAAAUCUGGGUCAGGUAGGGUCAAAAACUAGGUUACUGGGUCAAAUCAAAGGAAAAGCUUUUUAACACUCUAGAGGUCACAUUUAUGACUGUAUCUUUAUGAAACUUAGUCAGAAUGUUAAUCUUCAUGAUCUUUAAGUCAAGUUCGAAUCUGGGUCAUGUGAGGUCAAAAACUAGGUCACCGGGUCAAAUCAAAGGAAAAGUUAGUUAACACUUUAGAGGCCACAUUUAUGACCAUAUCUUAAUGAAACUAUCUUGAUGAUCUUUAGGUCAAUAGGUCAGGUGAGCGAUACAGGGCCUUCAUGGCCCUCUUGUACCAGUUAAAGUGGCAUUUUCAUGUUUUAGCCAGUUCCUGUUUCUAUUGUGGUUCUAUACUUGACAUUUUGGUUGCAUUUUCAAGGAACUGUUUGGUAUUUAUUGAAAUGUAAAUAAACCUUAUUACUCAUGUGUUUAUACCCACAUUGUAGCUGUCAGUUUGGAAGAUACUCAAUCAGUUAAACUGUCAGGAAAAAAACUCUCUUAGAAGAUAUUUGACCCGUACAUCUUUUUUGUGAUUUUUGGCGGUUUAUAGGUCAUUUAAGAACAAAAGGCUAGUGAUCCUUUUUUAAAUGGGUCUUGCUAUGUGUUACAGCUAUCAGAAGAUUGUUGAUAAGAACGUAAAUUAAAUUUCUUUACUACAGUACAACUUCUCCAGAGCGGCCCUCUCUUAAGCAAAAACCUCUAUAACAACAUCAUCAAAAUUUCCCAAAGGAGAAAUACUAUCAAAUUUACCUCUCCAGAACAACAACCUUUACAUAACAGUCGGGGGCCUCCGUGGCCAAGUGGUUAAGGUCGCUGACUUCAAAUCACUUGCCCCUCAUCGAUGUGGGUUCGAGCCUUACUCGGGGCGUUGAAUUCUUCAUGUUAGGAAGCCAUCCAGCUGGCUGACUGAAAGUCGGUGGUUCAACCCAGGUGCCCGCUCGUGAUGAAAUAAUGCACGGAGGGGCACCUGGGGUCUUCCUCCACCAUUAAAGCUGUAAAGUCGCCAUAUGACCUAUCAUGUGUCGGUGCGACGUUAAAUAAAAAAAAAAUUGCAUAACGUCAAUAUUUGUAUCUCCCAAAGGAUGUUGCUCUACAGAAGUUGCAUUGUACUGUGCAGCCUAAAUGGAUUUCCCGUCAUUUGAUCACAUGCUCAAUUUUAUUGUUUUUAUUGAAUAGUUGGAAACAAAGAUGCAGAAACACUAUUUACUUCUAUAAAAAUCUCAGUUUGACCCGGAAAGUUAAAACUUAACAGGAUGAUUGGAAAUGCACCGCAACUGAGGCCUAUUGAUGUUUAGGUUCACUUGGUCAAAAUUCUAGGUAACAGGGGCAUGAAUUCGUCAGAUAUUAUACCCGAUCAACUCGAGAACGUAGAACGAAUUCAUAGGGUGAUAGGGCUUAUAGAGUAGAUAACCCCCUAUAUUGUUUUUGGGGUCAUUCUAUCAAAGGUAACAGGGACCUGGGCAUGGAAAACUCUUUCAAUAAUCAAUAACUGGAGAACCACUUGACUCAAAAUGUUGAAACUUUAUAAGAUGACUGAACUUGCACAGCAAAUUACCCUUAUUGUUUUUGAGGUUACUUCAUUAAAGGUCAAAGUCAAAGGGGCCAGAAUAUGGAAAACCGUUUCCGAUCAAUAUUUUGAGAACCACAUGACCCUGAGCGUAGAAACUUCAUAGGAUGAUUGGACAUGCACAGCGAAAUGACGCCUAUUGAUUUUGGGGUCACUCAUGCAAAAGCGAAAAACGUUCGGUAAUUUUGAUCUAUAGAUAUUGAACAAGUGGUUACAUUCCUUCGAUAUUCAAUAUCUCAGAUGAAGUUCUGGUUUAGAUUACAAAAUUAUUCUAUUUGGAGGGUGUUUUUUAAAAAGUAUGUCAGUCGUCACGUGAAUGCUAAAAUGUGUAUAUGCAUCAGAAGUGUGCAAUGUGAAUAAAUUAAACAAUACAAAUGUGUACCAAUGUAUGACUUCAAAUUCAGAACCACUUCUAAGAAGAAUAUCAUUCAUCAUUUCGAGUUUUAUUGUAUAACUGUGAAUAGUAUAUAUUUUGUUUUUGUCUGUUUACAUUUCGCACACUGCUCUGCCCUGUAAACCAGAUAUUCAUAAAUGGGAAGUUCAACGUUGAAGAAAGCAUAAAAUAUGUGGAAUACCUCAGCAAUAUGAAAUUUUGCGACAAUGUGACUGGUGCACGAUGGAAGAUGAAUUACAGCUUGUUCAACAUGCUUUGUACAUAUUCAUCAUGGAACUAUAACACCUGGAGCUUUAAGACAUCCAACGCCCUGCUUCUUCAGCUAGGAAUAUCUAACACAUAUUAUAUGAGAAAAUAAUAUUUAUUAAAUUAAUUAAUGGAAAACAUAUGGAACAUUUAUUUUUAUGACAUUGUCUGCAUUGUACUAUAGACACGAUAAGCAUAAAACGCC